rnacentral:rRNA from 1 species
AUGCAGAAGGCGAGGAGGCGUCGCAUGCCGGCGUUCGGGGAGUGGAACUACAGCUACCACCACGACGAGCCGGAGGCGGCGGCGGCGACCGCGUGCUACGCCACGCCGGAGCCGGAGGCCUGCAGCGACGUGUGGUUCAGGUACUCACCGCCCCCGCGCAAACCCAUGCCCAAGAAGCAGGCGAUGAGGCGGUCCGAGGGCGACGUGUCCCGGGAGCGCUCGACGGCCAAAGGCGGCGACUCCAGGCGCGUGGUGCGGCCGGUCGACGGGGACCUGUACCAGGUGCCACCGCCGGAGCUCGCCCCCCACCGGGGGCCGAGGAAGACGGGGGGCCUGUGGAUGGGAUGCCUGGGCCUCAGCUCAUGCGUCGACUGA